UCAAGCCGAUAAAAAUGUAAUGAAUGCAGUUGUAUUAACAGUCAUAUACUCGUAUGCGGCAUCGACAAAAUAUACUAUGCAAGGGACUAUAUCGUCCCCAAUUGUAGUGUGGAAAAUGAAGGCUCCAGAAAAGAAACCAUUGGUCAGGCCUGAAAACGCUGAAGAAGUUAGGGCAAAAGUUCGCAAGGGAUCUCAAAAAAAGAUUCAGAACCCUAUACAUGCAUUGUCUGAAUUUCAAAGUCCUGCUGAUGCUGUUUAAAAUAAAAUAAUUAAAUAACGGUAAAAAGAAAAAUAUAAAUCGAUAUUGGACUUGUCUUUAUUUUAAAAAAUCUCCCAUUUAUUCAAUUUUAUCGAUUAAAACGUUAUUGUAAUAUCACAACUACUGUUAUAUCAAAGUAAUAAAAAAAAUCUAUAUCUACACAUUAAAAGUUCUACAUUUACAUUUUCUUUUUAUUUGCAACCGGAGGUGUUUGGAUCUUGCUAAGGAGCCCAAAAAGGUUGCAAGAUCUGAAGCAUUUCUCGAAAUCAAACGUCUCGACC